CCUGAGGCUCCCCGUGACCCGAGAAGUUUGGAUAAGUGGUAGAAAACAAAUGAAUCUCAGAAAGCACUACUUUUGGCAGAAUCACUAAACUGCACAUCAUCCUGAGAACGUUAUCUUCCCCCGGUGAAGCAUGGUGGUGGGAGCAUCAUGUUGUGAGGACGCUUUUCAUCAGCAGGGACGAGCAAUUUGGUCCAAGCUGAAGGAAAUUUGAGGAAGCCAAGAACAGGGAAAUCUUGGAAGAAAACCAUAUCAAGCUUGCCAGAAACAAACUCCCGUUCUGGAUCCUGCCAAAAAGCAGGUCAAAGUCUGGCUGCUUUAGGAAAAAUGCUGUGUCUCACCUGCUUCUUGCAGUGUUCACUUCCUUCAAUGAAUGAAUGUGUAAAGUCCCUGACUGGAUUGCAAGGGCUGACUGCACAAACUAUGCACAUUUAGUGUUAAUCGUUCUUUUACAUCUAGAAUUUUCUGUAAACCAACCCCACACAAAGCAAGAGAGGAAAAGAAAAAAACAAAUACCAUAGACAAACUGCAUAAAAACAUUUUUAUUUAAUUGCAUGAGUGAUGGCAAUUGCUUAAAAAGAUGAUUAUGAAAAACAGAUUUAUGGCUUUUGUAGAGAUGAGUGGAAAAAACAUCCGAUAGCACCUUAAUAUAAAAAGUUUACAGAUAUAUUAACAGCUUCAUCAUAAAUUCUUUUGUAAACAUAGCAAACUAAUAUAAAAUAGUCCUGAAAAUGACAACAAAACAAAUUGUCAAAAGAAAUGGAAUAGGUUGUACAGGAAACAUAGGAAUCUAUUACACGAGAAGAGAAAAUCCAAUCUGAGGGAUCUUAACGGAGAGAGAGAGAGCUUGGCGUCAUGAAGACAUGACAUGACCUUAAUGACAUGUUUGAGGAUAAUUGGGUAUGUUUUGUUUGUUUGAAUAAAAUCCAAUCAUUUCCAGA